rnacentral:misc_RNA from 1 species
CCGAGUUUACAACUCCCAAACCCCUGUGAACAUACCUUAAUGUUGCCUCGGCGGAUCAGCCCGCUCCCGGUAAAACGGGACGGCCCGCCGCAGGAACCCUAAACUCUGUUUUUAUAUGUAACUUCUGAGUAUAAAAACAAAUAAAUCA